CUGCCGAGUGGCUUGAGCUGAGAUCCCAGUGGCUGGAUGGUCCCAGUUCUUGAGGAUGGAAGGAAGAGGAACAGUUGCUGCUUCAGGCUCCUUGGGGUAAAGGCCCAUAGCGAGCCUAAACCUUGCAGCCUGGGAAACAUCCGUGGGCAGAGAAAACUUACAGAGGACGCUGCGUCAUAGCGAGUCCGGCCUUUGGUCUGCCUCGUUCAGGAUUGUCCGCACAGACUGGCAGCAGCUCCUGCAAGGUUCCAGGCAGGCGUCUUUGCCAGCCCUACCUGGAGAUGUUGCCAGGGAUCGAACCUGGGACCUCCUGCAUGCAAAGCAGAAAACUCAACCCAAUACACUUUUUUUUUUUUUUGGUGCAGGGGUGGGUGUGCGGGUGUGCAGACGGUAGGGUUUAUUCGAUUAUUGGCAGAGAAGGGGCUCCCUAAAAUAAGGGGGGACUCAAGUGUUUGUGGGGAAGGGGGGGGAAAUCUGCACCCCGAUGACCUGUCCUGCUGUGAAUAAAUGGAGAAUGUGCA